GCGCGCUCGCCCCGCAGCUCGGGCGGCUGGCAGGCGGGCUGGCGCCGGUCGCGUCGGCCGGCAGCAGGGCCCAUGUGGAAGCUCCUCCCGGCCGCGGGCCCAGCCCGAGAACCAUACAGACUUUUGACUGGCACUGAGUACAUCGUUGGAAGGAAAAACUGUGCUAUUCUAAUUGAAGAUGAUCAGUCAAUCAGUCGAAAUCAUGCAGUGUUAACUGCUAAUUUUGCUGUGACCAACUUGAGUCAAACUGAUGAAAUCCCUGUAUUGACAAUCAAAGAUAAUUCUAAAUAUGGUACCUUUGUUAAUGAGGCAAAAAUGCAAAAUCACCUUCCCCAAACUUUGAAGACAGGGGAUAGAGUCACCUUUGGAGUGUUUGAAAGUAAAUUCAGAUGUGUCUGGGAAAACUGCUCUAAAUCAAGCUGUGUUGCAACUUGGAGGACUCACUGUGAACAGCUGGACAAAAGAAUGUACUCACCUUGUCAUGAUGUCAGUGAAAGUCACCAUGGAAACGAUUUGUGCACUCAUUUGUGGAUGCCCCAUUGUAAAGCCAGAGUAUUUUACUGAAUUUCUCCAAGCAGUUCAGUCCAAGAAACAGCCUCCACAAAUAGAAAGGUAUAUUAUGUGUUUCUAAUUAACAACAUAUGACAGAAAAGAUGAGCGCAUUGACUUUCGGUUAACUCUCUGGA